UCAUGUAUUGUGGAGGGGAGAGACUUUAAGGAGUAGCUUUACUGUCUCCAUGAGCUCACCUCUCCAUCAUGCAUGACA
rnacentral:pre_miRNA from 1 species